rnacentral:rRNA from 1 species
AUUCCAGCUCCAAUAGCGUAUAUUAAAGUUGUUGCAGUUAAAAAGCUCGUAGUUGGAGUUCAGAUUGAGCUCGGCCGGUCGGCCUAAUUGGUCAGAACUGGUUGACUCUGUCUUGUUUGUGGAUCCCUCCGGAGUUAACUCUUCGGAUGUGGAGUCCACAUCGUUUACCUUGAAAAAAUUAGAGUGUUCAAAGCAGGCGUUUGCUUGAAUAUAUUAGCAUGGAAUAAUGGAAUAGGACUUUGGUUCUAUUUUGUUGGUUUCUAGGACCGAAGUAAUGAUUAAUAGGGACAGUUGGGGGCAUUAGUAUUUAAUUGACAGAGGUGAAAUUCUUGGAUUUAUGAAAGACUAACUACUGCGAAAGCAUUUGCCAAGGAUGUUUUCAUUG